rnacentral:lncRNA from 1 species
CAGAAAGUAACCUUGUGCAUAUGGAGCUUUUGCUUUAUUGGAGAAUUAUCAUUUGGGCGGAUUCCUACAAGUGGGAUUUCUGGGCCAACAGCAAGUGUACAUGUAAUUUUAUUAGGUAUUGCCAAGUUCCCCUCCAGAAAGGUAGUUCCAGUUUGCACUUCUACCAACACCACACAAAGGUGCCUCACCAAUACAAUGUGGCGUUGUAUUUUACAUUUCUUCCAGUCUCAUAGGUGAGAAAUGGCAUCUGAGCUUUAAUUUGCAUUUGUUUGAAUUUUUAAAAAUAAAUUUUAUUGUGUUUAAAAGUAUACCUGUUAUGGGAUACACAUAAAUAGAAGGUUACUAGAGUGAAGCAAAUUAAUGUAUCCAUCACUCACAUUUGAAUUAAAAAUGCAUUUUAGGGACACUUUGUAUGUUUUUUGUAAAUUGCUCAUUUUCCUCCAUUUUUCUAUCAGGAGUUUGGUGCUUUGUCCUUCAAUGUUUAAGAAUUGGCCUCAUAAUUUUGUAAAACUAAUUAAUACUAAUAUAUAGACUGGCACUUAGUUUUUGGCCAGGCAUGGUGGCUCACACCUGUAACCCCAGCACUUUGGGAGGCUGAGGUGGGCAGAUGACCUAAGGUCAGGAGUCUGAGACCAGCCUGGCCAACAUGGCAAAACCCCGUCUCUACUAAAAAUACAAAGUAGCCGGGCGUGGUGGCAGGGACCUCUAAUCCCAGCUACUUGGGAGGCUGAGGCAUGAGAAUCACUUGAACCUGGGGAGGUGGAGGUCACAGUGAGCCAAGACGGCGCCACUGCACUCCAGCCUGGGGGAUUAGAGUGAGACCUGUCUCCCAAAAUAAACAAAAUAAAUAAAAUGAAGUUCUCUGUCGUGACUUCAACCAAAAAAUAAUAAUACCUAGUACAUCCGAAUGCAGUAUGAGAUGAUCUACUGUGGCGUUAGGCUUUAUUUUAAUGUAAACAUAAAGCACACAUCUAAACUCUGAGAAAUACAGGUAGA